rnacentral:rRNA from 1 species
GAUGAACGCUGGCGGCGUGCCUAAUACAUGCAAGUCGAGCGACCAGACGAUGAGCUUGCUCCUCUGACGUUAGCGGCUGACGGGUGAGUAACACGUGGAUAAGCUACCACUAAGACUGGGAUAAUUACGGGAAACCGGAGCUAAUACCAGAUCAUAUAUUGAACCGCAUGGAUCAAUAGUUAAUGACGCUUUUGCUGUCACUUAUAGCUGGAGCCGCGCCGGAUUAGCUAGUUGGUAAGGGAACGGCUUACCAAGGCGACGAUGCGUAGCCGACCUGAGAGGGUGAUCAGCCACACUGGAAAUGGGACACGGUCCAGACUCCUACGGGAGGCAGCAGGGGGGAAUAUUUGACAAUGGGCGCAAGCCCGAACCAGCCAUACCGCGUGGGGGAAGAAGGACUUUGGGUUGUAAAGCCCUUUUGUUGGGGAAAAAAAAAAGAAGGUUAAUACCUCGCUGUUCUGAAGGUACCCAAAGAAUAAGCCCCGGCUAACUUCGUG